GCUGGUGCAAGUGAUGACUGAAUUUUUUCCCCAUCAGAGCGACAGUGUUGAUUUCUCUGCUCUUCAAGCCAGAUCAUGUCUGAUGCGCCAGC
ensembl:snoRNA